CCGGGGAGUGACGCGGAGCCCAGAAGGCAUUAAAUAAAUAUGAGAGGAAGUCAUUUCCUGAGCAGAAUGACACCGAGCGGCGAGAAACAGAAAAGGCAACGUGAGCGACUGUGAGGAAGCACACCUACGGUUACCAAGCGCCAGCUCACGUUGGUCACAAGAGCGACAUAAAUAGAUCACCUGUCACGUGAAAAUACCAUCAGCUGAGCGACAAGACACCUGCCCGUGCACGUCUGGUGAUGCCCUUUCCUGACAGAUGGAAUAUGAUCAUAUCGUGUUCUAUCCAGAAGUCAAAGAAGUCAAGAUCAAGAUCAAGAUUAGUUUUCGACACUGCAGGACAGAACAAGUCAGUGACUCAUGGACACGCCUGAUAAAUUAAUCCACAGUACUGGAAUACUCGUGCGGUUAGAAGAACGUGUGCGGCGUCACGGAGCUGAAACAAGAGUGUUGCCGGGCAGCAAAUGUGCAACACCCUGAGACUCAGCUGGCCCGGAAUCAAGCAGCAGGACCCACACCCUGCAUGACAUGUGGAGACCUGAUACUGGCAGUCACGGCGGCCAAAGACAGAUGACUGGUCUGGCCACUUGUCCACAUCACAAGUUCCCUUUAAUGCCUAAAACCUGAAUCACUCCAUCAUGACCUCACCUCCAGAUCCCUGGUGAUGUUGAAACCUUGUUAUCCUGCAUCCAGUAAUUUUCAACAGGAAACAUGUUUCAUCAUUAUGUACAUGGAAGCUGGAUGACUGCUGUAAUUCAUUCUAAAUUUAAAAAAAAAAAUAAAAAAAAUAAAAAUAAAAAUACUACAUUUCCCAUAAGGCUUUAGUGGAUUGACGUUUCCUUCCCAGAGGUCACCUGAGA
rnacentral:lncRNA from 1 species